GAUGAGGAUAGCUGUGUGAAAAAGUGCCACACCCUAGCAGUUGAGGGAACCUGUGGAAGUGGUAGACCCAGGAAGACCUGGGAUGAGGUGGUGAAGCACAACUUUCGAACAUUGAGCCUCACUAAGGCAAUGACAAGUGACCGAGACCUUUGGAGAUAUGCUGUGAUUGAGAA